rnacentral:snRNA from 1 species
UUAGUUUUUUUUGUUCAAGUAUUC